UACGUAGGGUGCGAGCGUUAAUCGGAAUUACUGGGCGUAAAGCGUGCGUAGGUGGUUCGUUGUGUCUGUGGUGAAAGCCCCGGGCUUAACCUGGGAAUGGCCAUGGAAACUGGCGAGCUGGAGUCUGGCAGAGGGGGGUGGAAUUCCGCGUGUAGCAGUGAAAUGCGUAGAGAUGCGGAGGAACACCGAUGGCGAAGGCAGCCCCCUGGGCUAAGACUGACGCUGAGGCACGAAAGCGUGGGGAGCAAACAGG
rnacentral:rRNA from 3 species